UGCUUUUAAUGCAUUCAAUUGACAAUAAGGUUGAAUUGUAAAAGUACUCGUUGUUUAUAUUAAGGAAAGAGCCCACUGAAAACGGCGAUUUGGUCCCUCCAGCUUUGGACACUGACCCAGGCUCGAGACGCACUCCCACAGGCAGGCCAUAUAAUGGAGCGCCAUGUGAACCAGUCCAUAAUUGGCAUCCUGUGCAUCCUUCGGGGCUGUGGCUUGAGCGACAAGCGUAGUGUAUUUGUUGAUAAGCAUUCUUUGGCGCAAUUGCAGCUUUUUGUUUUUACUGUUUAGCAUAACAAUGGCUGUUAAAUUAUUAUGUUUGCCUUUGCUUGGGCUUGGUCUCAUGCUUUACCUCUUCAGAUGCGCGCUGGCAUCUGCGAAUGCCUUGGACCUGGUUUUGGUGGCAAGCAGCUCCUGCGUCAUGCCAAUUAGCUUAUAGACAAACAUAAGCGCACGCGUUCUGUACAGUUCCAACAAUUCCCUGGUCUAUUCAAAUACACGAUUAGCUUUCCUAUAAGCUUGAAGCCGAACGGACCAAACUUUCGCUGACAGCAAGUUCCAUUCAAAAUGGGAAUUCAUUAAAUGUAAUUUGAUGUGGAUUUGAUGAAAUCACUGAAACGCGUGAAUUGCAGCAAACACGGACUGUGCUCUGCACUGCUCAGCAGUCAGUUAGUCAAUCAGUCAGUCAGUCAAUCAGUAAGCCGCGAGGCCAUGCGACUUGUCCUGAACGCCUGCUGGCGUAGCCUUUGACGGAGACAGUGCAACUCCAGCUUGGUCUUGACCAGGGCCUUCUG
rnacentral:sRNA from 1 species